CAGAGGUGAGGGGAGGUGCUGGCUGCCAUGGUGGAGGGCUACGCCGUCUCGUUCGGCCCUGGCACGGCUGGCGGACUCUUGGGGCGCCUCGGAGACUGUGGGCUGUCUCUGCUCGUCCCUCUGGGUGUGCCAUGGCUGUGGCAGAAAGGGCCCCGCAUCCCCAGGCCCUGCCCGCAUCCUCCUCCGCUGGGUGGGACGGCGCCAUCUUGAGUGUGACCGAGCGGCGGGUUGCGGAGCAGCUGUGUGAAGCGGCGUCCCGGCCGUCCGGAGCCGGGGAGCGGGCACGGCGGCGCCUGUUGGCACACCCGUCUGUUCGCAGCGCUUUGGAGAAGCUUCCUUGGAGAAGUGGCCUCUGUCAACUGAGAAUUGGACAGCAAACCACCGCAGCUCUGCCCCUGCCCUGAUGGAGCACCAGGUGGGAAGUCUACAGCUGCUGCUCGUCCAGCCCAGCCUGCACUGCCCAGACUCACCGCACCUCCACACCGCAGGCGGAUCUCCAUUUUUAGUUUUCUUCGGCUACAGAUACCC